UACGGAGGGUCCAAGCGUUAUCCGGAUUUAUUGGGUUUAAAGGGUACGUAGGCGGAGCUUUAAGUCAGUAGUGAAAGCCCAUUGCUUAACAAUGGAACUGCUAUUGAUACUGGAGUUCUUGAAUAUAGUUGAAGUAGGCGGAAUACGGCAUGUAGCGGUGAAAUGCAUAGAUAUGCCGUGGAACACCAAUCGCGAAGGCAGCUUACUAAGCUAUUAUUGACGCUGAUGUACGAAAGCGUGGGGAGCGAACAGG
rnacentral:rRNA from 1 species